GUUAACUUUUAGAAAGUAUUCUCGCACCGUAUAAAUACAUCUCAUUUUUCUCUGUUUUGUCAGUAGUUGUUUUUGGUAUUAUUCGUGCAACGUGGAAGCUAACUUAGUGGUUUGGUGUUCGUACAAAAAAGCAGUCCUAAAGAUCAUCUUAGUACUCUCAACCCGUAACCGCAAAUAGAAUAGCAGCAAUCUUAAGCAUGGACUUAAGUCAACUGAAUCAAACCUGUCUUGCAGAAGGUGAUUUUGAGCAGCCGAUUGUCAAACUGCAUGAAUUGCCGAUAGGCGUUCCGUUUAAAAUUACUAGAGCCAAAAUUGUUAAUACAAAAUUUGGCAAUUCCGUGUUGCUGCAAUUAGAAAAUUCCGUAGUAUUUCUUCCUACUCGCGUGACAGAAGCUUUCCGUCCGAGACUAGAACACUUUGCGUCGGGGCAGUACAAACUGGUCUACGAGGGAUCCAAAGAUAUUGGAAAGCCCAACUCUUUAAAGAAAUUCAAAAUAAUUCAAAAUUAAUCAACAUAUUAUACAGGAUUAUGGUCAAACAACUUACAUUAGAAAGCCUUUGUAUUAUAACAAUUUGCGAAAAUAUUAGGUGUAGUGCUGAUUUUUUGCGUGAGUCACCUUUGCCUUGGAAACUAACGAUACUAAUAUUUAAAUAUUAUUCGAAAUAUAGAUGGAGGUACCUUAAACAACUAGCGCUCCAGUCUGAUGGCAAUUCUUUAUUAAAUUUAGAAUUCAUUCUGUUGAAUAAGAGAUUUGGAUCGUCUUACAGAAAUAGCAUUUUGGCAACUCCAACCAUUGAUUUUGACGGAGAAUCCGCUUACUGUUUAUGGGUCAGUUAUUACAGGAUAAAAUAUUCGGAAAUUUUAGUUUGUAAAUCUUGUCACUUUAUAUUUCAAGUAGUUAAAAAAUUUAAAAAGAAAAAUUUUAGACUUUUAUUGGAUCACUAUCAUUUACAGCUGGAUAUAAAUAAUUUGAAUGAUGUAUAUCACGAUAAACAAUUUUGGUGUCAAAGCUGCUUUGAAGAAGUUUUGUUCACUGUAGAAACUGAAGAUGAAUGUAAUUUAAUGCUUCACAAUGAGAGGAAAUAUGGAAAAAAGUUACGCUUUUCUGAUAGUCCAUUGAACUAUUAAUACUGUGGUUUUAUUAUAACAUAUGUAACUGUAGAUAAGACUUUUAUGUAUUGAUUGUAUUCCAUUGUAUUGCAACAAGAAUAAACAUGUAUAUAUUUAGACGCUAUUU